AGUUAAUCUCAAAAAUAAAAUUAGCUCCUGUCCCUUCUCCCAGUGCAAAGUAGAAACAACCAAUCAGAGCCAGGAGGCGGGUCUUAGUGCUGUCAAUCACCCUCUGAGAUCUCUGCUUCUUCCUGAUAGCAGAGCC